rnacentral:lncRNA from 1 species
CUCCCCAUGGCGUAAGCGCUGUAAGUCACAAACCAUCCUUUGCCCACGAAGGUCCCGUCGGGCAUGAUGUCGUCUUCCAGGCAUGACUGUGUGUCGAUCGGUACCGGAGGAUACAAUCUCAUCGACUCCGUCACCGCGGCGUGGAGGUAAUGCAUUUCUCGGAGCUCGUCGAAGCUGAACGUUUCGCUUGUGUUCUUGUUGAUGGUCCUUACACUUGUGACCUCGUCCAGUAUCUUCUUCUCCACGUCGGGCCUCGUCGACAGGAUCCAGAAGAACCAUGUCAGGGCCGAUGAUGUCGUCUCCCUGCCUGCCACGAGGAAGUUUGUGACGAUGUCUCGCAGGAACUCCUCCGAGUUGUUCUUGUUGGAGGCGAAUCGAGAGAGG